UACGUAGGGGGCCAGCGUUGCUCGGAAUUACUGGGCGUAAAGGGUUCGUAGGUGGUGCGGCAAGUUGGGAGUGAAAUCUCUGGGCUUAACUCAGAGGCUGCUUUCAAAACUGCCGCGCUCGAGUGCGAGAGAGGUCAGUGGAAUUGCAGGUGUAGCGGUGAAAUGCGUAGAUAUCUGCAGGAACACCCGUGGCGAAGGCGGCUGACUGGAUCGCA
rnacentral:rRNA from 1 species